GACGAACGCUGGCGGCGUGCUUAACACAUGCAAGUCGAACGAAGUGGCGAACGGGUGAGUAAUACGUGAGUAACCUGGCCUCCUUUUUGGGAUAAGCCUUGGAAACGGGGUCUAAUACCGAAUAAAGGGGGAUGGGCUAGCGGCCUAUCAGCUUGUUGGUGGGGUUAUUGCCUACCAAGGCGGUGACGGGUAGCCGGCCUGAGAGGGUGACCGGCGACAUUGGGACUGGGCUACGGCCCAGACGACGACGGGAGGGAGCAGUGGGGGAUAUUGGGGAAUGGGCGAAAGCCUGACGCAGCGAGGCUGCGUGGGGGUUGAAGGCUUUCGGGUUGUAAACAUCUGGCGGUAACGAACGGGUAGGUGGAGAAGAAGCGCCGGCUAACUACGUGCCAGCAGCCGCGGUAAUUC
rnacentral:rRNA from 1 species